rnacentral:rRNA from 1 species
AGUGAACGCUGGCGGUAGGCCUAACACAUGCAAGUCGAACGGCAGCACAGUAAGAGCUUGCUCUUACGGGUGGCGAGUGGCGGACGGGUGAGGAAUACAUCGGAAUCUACUUUUUCGUGGGGGAUAACGUAGGGAAACUUACGCUAAUACCGCAUACGACCUACGGGUGAAAGCAGGGGAUCUUCGGACCUUGCGCGAUUGAAUGAGCCGAUGUCGGAUUAGCUAGUUGGCGGGGUAAAGGCCCACCAAGGCGACGAUCCGUAGCUGGUCUGAGAGGAUGAUCCGGCAACAGGGAACUGAGACACGGUCCAGACUCCUACGGGAGGCAGCAGUGGGGAAUAUUGGACAAUGGGCGCAAGCCUGAUCCAGCCAUACCGCGUGGGUGAAGAAGGCCUUCGGGUUGUAAAGCCCUUUUGUUGGGAAAGAAAAGCAGCAGGUUAAUACCCCGCUGUUCUGACGGUACCCAAAGAAUAAGCACCGGCUAACUUCGUG